rnacentral:lncRNA from 1 species
AUUUGCGCCGAUUUUUUUACAGGUAAAUUACAGGUAAAAUACAGGUUAACUACAGAAAAUAUAUAAGAAUAUGUCAAUGAGACAACUCUUUUUUUUAUUUUCAUUAAAGACCUCUCGUUAGCCAGUUGAACAUUUUAUGAAUUGUCAAUCAUAACAUGUAUACAACUGUUGUCCCCUGCUCACCACGGGGAGGUGGAAGUAGGAUUUCGAGCAGGAUGAGUCAAUUUAAUAGCAC